rnacentral:rRNA from 1 species
GAUGAACGCUGGCGGCGUGCCUAAUACAUGCAAGUAGAACGCUGAAGGAAGGAGCUUGCUCUUUCCGGAUGAGUUGCGAACGGGUGAGUAACGCGUAGGUAACCUGCCUGGUAGCGGGGGAUAACUAUUGGAAACGAUAGCUAAUACCGCAUAACAGUAGAUGUUGCAUGAUAUCUACUUAAAAGGUGCAAUUGCACCACUACCAGAUGGACCUGCGUUGUAUUAGCUAGUUGGUGAGGUAACGGCUCACCAAGGCGACGAUACAUAGCCGACCUGAGAGGGUGAUCGGCCACACUGGGACUGAGACACGGCCCAGACUCCUACGGGAGGCAGCAGUAGGGUAUCUUCGGCAAUGGACGGAAGUCUGACCGAGCAACGCCGCGUGAGUGAAGAAGGUUUUCGGAUCGUAAAGCUCUGUUGUAAGAGAAGAACGAGUGUGAGAGUGGAAAGUUCACACUGUGACGGUAUCUUACCAGAAAGGGACGGCUAACUACGUG